GAUGAAGAACGCAGCGAAAUGCGAUAACUAAUGUGAAUUGCAGAAUUCAGUGAAUCAUCGAGUCUUUGAACGCGCAUUGCGGCCCCUGGUAUUCCGGGGGGCAUGCCUGUCCGAGCGUCAUUGCUGCCCUCAAGCACGGCUUGUGUGUUGGGCUCCGUCCCCCCGGGGACGGGCCCGAAAGGCAGCGGCGGCACCGAGUCCGGUCCUCGAGCGUAUGGGGCUUUGUCACCCGCUCUGUAGGCCCGGCCGGCGCCAGCCGACAACCCAUCAUCCUUUUCAGGUUGACCUCGGAUCAGGUAGGGAUACCCGCUGAACUUAAGCAUAUCAAUAAGCGGAGGA
rnacentral:misc_RNA from 1 species